GAGGGAGAGAAAUUCUAGGUCUAGAAAUUUCGAGCUUCUCUGUCUUCUCCAUCGGUCUUCCUCAUCCUUCCUUCUCCAAUGUUCUUCCCGUGUCACCGGCGGUCGUGGAUGCUCAGCACUGCCUUGCAAAAAUGCCCAGUGUGUCUCUGUAGGUGCUGCCAUUAGCGAGUCCUUCUUCAUACUCUCUGCCUCUGUUCCUUUUCUUUUUCGUGCUGCUGUUCUAUCUUGCUGUGCACAUCUGGGUCGUUGGCUGAUGGAAGAAAUCAGGUCGUUGGAGUGGGUGUACUGAUCGCCAAUCUGAAUCAGCGCUGAGUUCCUUUUUCUUCUCCCUCUUGGUUUCUUCCUCCUUUAUUUUGUUCGUUUGUGGUUGGGAAGUGAAGGAAGAGCUGAUAUGGUGCUGUGGAAGGAUUAAUUCGUGGGUUGAGGCAGAAAUAUUGCUAUAUUCUUCUUCCCCUGUUCAGUUGUGGAUUCAGUUUUCUUCCUCCCUCUGUGUGUGUGCACUGUCGGCUAACUAAGGAUGCUAAGAGAAAGGAGGAGUUGAUUGAAGUUCUAAGAAAUGAAUUUUGAUGCUCGGGCAUAUUAUAGGUAAGUGGAUAGCGUCCCAACUGCUUUAUCAUAAAAUUAGUUUCUGAAAUAUUAUAUUUAUGCAAAUAAUUUUAAUGACAAUUAUGUUAAGUAUUGAAUAUUUUGUCAUUUAAAUUCUUAUUUUGGGAAAUUAUAAAGAAGUUUUGAAAGAUAAUUGAGUUAUGGUAUGCGUAUGUUUUUUCUUAUAAUGAAUACUUUUAAAAAAUUGAUGAGAUUAUUUUUUUUAUCAACCCUGGUUAUUCUGAGUUAUGCAAUAAAUGUCAAAUAUGGACUUCAGAUAUGAAAUUUUAUCGUGGCAUGUUUUAAUGCUCAAAAGUAUUCAUGUGAGUUUGAUUUUGAGAACGAGAACUGUAUCUUGAAAAUGAUGAUUUUCUCGCAUGUUUGAAAAUGGUUUUAAAAAGGGACUUUAUACGGAACACUGGUUGCUAACGGCAGUUCCAUUAGCCCUUGGUGCGCCAUGGUACACCUAGCUAGCAGGGUGUUUAUAGGAGGUGCUAGCCCCGUGCGAUGGCCAACGCACGUGGAACGGAGGGAUGGUUAUUCGUGAGCAUUGUACUCACGUUUGAUUUCGUGGCUUUGAGCCGCGUUUGGUUAGUAUUACCCUCGUGGACUGGGUGUCCACGUUUGUUUCGUGGCUUCGGCUGCGUUUGGUGAUUUACCCUCGUGGAUUGUGUGUCCACGUUUGUCUUCGUGGCACAAGCCACGUUUGGAUUAUUUACCUUCGUGGACUGUGUGUCCACGUUUGAUAAUUGUUCUGAUAAGUCCCUAUGGUUAUGAAUCUGAUUAUUUGGUGAUUUGAUAUCCCAUUGGUUUUUAUUGAGUAAUUUAUUUACAAGUAUUUAUUUCCGUUAUAAGACUUCUUAAAAUCAAGUGAAAUUAACAUUUGAUAUGAUAGUUCAAUAAUUUGAGAUUUUAUUUGAAAUUUACAUAGCCAUUUUAUUGUGAAGUUUAUUAAAUUUUUAUAAAGAUGUUGUCUAUUUAACUUACACAAUUAUUUCAAACUUUUCAUUUUAUUCAUGUG